GGGACCGGUUUCGGAUUAUUGGGCGUAAGAGCUCGUAGGCGGUUUGUCGCGUCUGCCGUGAAAGUCCGGGGCUCAACUCCGGAUCUGCGGUGGGUACGGGCAGACUAGAGUGAUGUAGGGGAGACUGGAAUUCCUGGUGUAGCGGUGGAAUGCGCAGACAUCAGGAGGAACACCGAUGGCGAAGGCAGGUCUCUGGGCAUUAACUGACGCUGAGGAGCGAAAGCAUGGGGAGCGAACAGGAUUAGAUACCCUGGUAGUCCAUGCCGUAAACGUUGGGCACUAGGUGUGGGGGACAUUCCACGUUUUCCGCGCCGUAGCUAACGCAUUAAGUGCCCCGCCUGGGGAGUACGGCCGCAAGGCUAAAACUCAAAGGAAUUGACGGGGGCCCGCACAAGCGGCGGAGCAUGCGGAUUAAUUCGAUGCAACGCGAAGAACCUUACCAAGGCUUGACAUACACCGGAAACGUCCAGAGAUGGGCGCCCCGCAAGGUCGGUGUACAGGUGGUGCAUGGUUGUCGUCAGCUCGUGUCGUGAGAUGUUGGGUUAAGUCCCGCAACGAGCGCAACCCUCGUUCUAUGUUGCCAGCGCGUAAUGGCGGGGACUCAUAGGAGACUGCCGGGGUCAACUCGGAGGAAGGUGGGAAUGACGUCAAAUCAUCAUGCCCCUUAUGUCUUGGGCUUCACGCAUGCUACAAUGGCCGGUACAAAGGGCUGCGAUACCGCGAGGUGGAGCGAAUCCCAGAAAACCGGUCUCAGUUCGGAUUGGGGUCUGCAACUCGACCCCAUGAAGUCGGAGUCGCUAGUAAUCGCAGAUCAGCAACGCUGCGGUGAAUACGUUCCCGGGCCUUGUACACACCGCCCGUCAAGUCACGAAAGUCGGUAACACCCGAAGCCGGUGGCCCAACUCGCAAGAGGGGGAGCCGUCGAAGGUGGGACUGGCGAUUGGACUAAGUCGUAACAAGGUAACC
rnacentral:rRNA from 1 species